ACAGAGCCUGAUGCAGGGCUCGAUCUUAUGACCCUGGGAUCAUGACCUGAGCCAAAAUCAAGAGUCAGACACUCAACCAACUGAGCCACCCAGGUGCUCCGGCAGGGCAUUACUUUUGACAGACUAUUUUUAAAGUGGCCCUAAUGUUCUCUUUCGAUAUAAAAGGGCGGGUAAAUUUCAUGCCCUGGAAGGCAGGGAAUCGCAGAGCUCUAGGUGUGGCAGCUGCCUCCCUGGGCACACUCGGGCACGUCAGCUCACCCCUUCCCUUGCUCUCAUGUGUGAGUGGGAGCCCUGCCUGACUCCCUGUAGAUGCGCCUGUGUCCAGCGCAAUGCAGACUGGAGCCUGACGCAGAGGGGAUGCGCCGAGUCGUGCAGGGCCUGCCUCACACAGAUGGCUUUGUCCCUCAGGCCUUGCCAUGUUCCGCUCUCCUUUAUUGAGUUCCGCUCACGCUUUCUGGGUCCUGUGACGUCAGCAGGGAGGUUCUCGUUGGUACUUUCCCCGGAACACUGGCAUCUCCCAGCAUCCCCACACGUUGUCGUAAAGCACUGUAGACGUGUCAGCGGGGUGUUCUACAGUUUCUGUUUGAUCGUGACGGAGAAGUAGACUGUGACCCUGACCUUUGUGAAUAAAGGGACGCACGUGAGUCUGCUUGUGUUCUCAGCGUCGUCGUGGGGGGUCCUCUACACCCUGCUGUGCAGGACCCGGUCGUGGGGGUCCUUCCUGCUUCGAGAAACGUGGUGUGGUGGUGGUUCAUUGUCCAUUGGCGGCCGGUUUGUUGUAAUGUAGAAAGCAGGUCUUCUUCCAGAGCGUCCUGCAGCCACACAGGGAUGCCGUGUUCUUUAGAUGUCCCGGGAAGAGUAGCUGUGCUGUGCAGGGGUGGGGUGGGGGCGUGGUGAUCCUCGCCUCGUCCACCCAGAGUUGGGCCUGAUGCACCGUGAAUUUCAUUUCCGCUUUGCUUCUCCUUUCUACUAUAAUCUGAAAUGGCCCCCACCUCCCUAAACUGGAGUUUUAAAAAGUUGAUCAGGUUUCUAGGGGAAGAAAAAUUUGCAGGUAUUAAAACUCACCUUAGUUUUUGAUUUCCAUCAUUAAGUUUCUGGUGUGGAUAAUUAGCAUUGGUCCCCACACACUUUCUCAGGGAAGCUGGUUGUGUUACUUAAAGUAUCACAGAUUCUUACUCCGUUUUAAUGUGCACCCCAAAGAAAUAGCCAGCAAGAUACUCAGAGGAGAGACUGGAGGCUGGUGCGUACCUGCAUCUUCCACGGAGUGCGGGCUCCAAGAGCACAUUCUUGUGCUGAGGAAGCAGAUACUGGAAUGUUUUAGAACUUGCGGGUCUCCAUCUGGAGGAGAGGGUUUAAUUGAACUUCUUAAGACGGGCAUUUCAAACGUUGCUGUCCUGCAAUUCUUUAUUACAACUUAGAAGCAAGUUAGUUCUGACCUAAUUGAGCUUUAAUGCCGUUCAGACAGUGGCAAAACCGUACGUUUUCUCUAGUCUGUUGUGUAAAUGUGGACAUAUACCAACAACUGCAUAAGGAACAAAACAGGUAUACUUACUUAGUCUGAAAGUCCCCCAUCCUUUAGUUGUGAAUUUUUAAGCAGUGCCAUGGGAGAUGGCUUUUCUUCCAGAUGACAUGGGUGUGGUUGCCACCAUCCCAGAGCUGUGACCCCCAAAGGGCAGUUGACCAAAACUGCUCCUAAACCUUGUGGUCACUGGUCUGUGAUUAAGACAUGCCAGUGUGUGUGGUUACAUGGUGCUGUGAUUGGGGGAAAUGCAAAGUGUGGUGCCUGGCCUUCACGGGGCCAGUUUACAAGGCCCCAGGAGACCAGCCUGGCAGGAUUUGGGGUCUGGUCUCUUUUCUCUGUUUGAAAACGUCUCUGAGCCCCAGCAUCUCUCCCUAUAUGGUUUAUUUCAACCUCCAAACUUCUCAUUUGUUUAUCCAGAAUACUACUACAAUUUCCCCUUUCUUUAAAGCACUCAGGAAAGAUGAUCAGUGUUUGCAAAAAUGUGUCAUCAGUAAGUGACAGUGUUGUGUGCACAGUGGUCAAGCUCAUGCCUGCCCUGAGGAUCCCUGCAUCAGGCUGUCCGCUGAUCACCUGGUCAGCGAGCUGCCUCGCACCCCAUUAUGUCAGGGUGCUGGCCGAUGAGCCUGGGGUCAUGACAGCAUUUGUUACUAACCAGUGUCCUCCCCGCUGCGCUGUGCUCCUGGAGGAGCUCUUGUCCUCUGGCUGUCGCUGGGGCAGUUUACUUCUCUGUGCAACCAGAGAGUGGCAUGGGACACAAUGCAAAGCGCAGAUUGCCACGUGUUCUGGGUUUGCACUGUUCCCAGUUGUCCAGCAGCCGCGCGAGCGAGCGUUCAGAGUGCGGAGUCCACCAGGGCCGCUGGAGCAGGGCCAAGGCCCGGGCCUUCUACUGGCCGCCUCCCAGGGCACGUGCACACCCCUGCAGCUUCAGUGUGGAUCCCAGAGAGCUGUCCUGCCAUUUCCCGUUUACCAUCAGAAAAGUCCAAACCCUUUUCCCUAGUUUCCGUGUCUACGUUAUUCGAAACAUCCUAAAAGUAUGUGUCUUGUGCUUUCCCUGUUUAUCAGUAGUUUAUGUAGUUGCUACACUGAGCUGGCCGUGGGGUGAAGAGCUGUGUGGUUUCGGCUGGACACCCAUCCUGAUGGCAGCUGCUGAGUUAGCAGGGCUCCGUGGGGUUACCUCCACUCCUUUGGAAAAAAGACCAGCCUUCCCCUUCUGAUGGGAUAUUGUUCAAUUUGGUGGAUUUCAAAAACAUUUAAGUGUUUUGAAGAAAGAAAAUGGGACUUUUUGAAAACCAAGGCACUUUGAUGUUUUCCUGAUACUCUGGAAGGAAUUGUAGGUUUUACUUAGUUUACAUGCCAGUUCAGCCCUGAACUAAAGGUAAAUUAGAAAGUUUUUGAAAUUGAUUUUAGAGGUCAUCAUAAUCAUCUGCUUUGUUCUGAGACUAGUUGUUCAUUUUUCCAAGAAAAUGAAGUUCCUUUUAUUACUAACUAAACAUACUACCAGAAUUCCUCUGCACUUUGUGAAAAUAUAAUGUCUGUAAAUAAGGUAAAGUUGUCAUGUCUUUUUUCGGGAUCCUUUUUAAGGAUCAUGUUAAUUCAGUUUUGCGCUUGAUUUGUUAUGAUGUUUAAAGGCAAGAUUUUAAGAAUCUUGUGUCUUGAAUGUUUUCAGAUGGGUUAAGACCUAGUUCCCUGGGAAGUACUAUCUAGAGUAUCCUUUGAAACAGUUCUGGGUUCGAGUGACUUGAGAAGAAAAUCCUCCCAGUGGGACAUAGACGGAAGCACUUUGCUGGAAGAAGGAAAGUCGUUCAUGCAGCACUGGGGCACCUGUGAGUGUUGGACAGAACGCUCGGAACAGAUUACGUUUUACAUCAAUACAAGAAUCUUAUUCUUAAAGGACGUUGGAACUCUGGAAAUGGCUCAAGUUGUGAAUGCUUUCCGCGGUUGCUCAGAUUAUCGGCUUGUGGCAUUCCUGUGUUAAGCCGUCCAUGAGCCAGGCUGUGGGUUCCCCUGUGACCUCAGCCAGGCGGCCCUGGUCUGCUGUUGGCCUUCUGGAUGGAGAACCACCCUUCGGCAUCGGCACCCUAAUGAUGUUGAUGGCUCCAUCUGAAACAAAACUGCCUUCUAGAUCAGCUCUGUUCUCUUCCUGAAAGCCUAACUGCUGAGUUUUAGAGCAACGCAGGAAGAAAACCUGAAUGGCCGGACAGAAGGAACCCCACACCAGAAUGAUUUUUAUUCGCAGAUGCUCUUGCAUCCUUGUGUUAACAUAACUCUGGAAAAUGGAUUGAUGUUGCCUUAUGACUUUGGAAGAUAUGUAUUAUUUAUUAUAAGAAACAACUACUUUAUUAUAGGAACAAAAUAAUAGUAUUUAUCACAAUGCAUUUGUCAUAUACCCUUGGAAUUUCUGUGAGUAACCACCUUAUCUGUGUGUUUCACAGAAUUGAUGUUUGUCCUUAAGAGGGUGGAACUCAACCCACAGACCAUCCCAGUUAUGACUUGGGUGUGUGUGUGCAACGGCGUAGUACCAAGUGCAUCCAUGUUUACUCUCCAGAGAGCUCACACUAGCCUGCUUCCUAGACUGUGCAGAGAAAGAGAGAUCAUAAUAUGCUUAAUGUGACUUUCCAGUAUAUGCGAUACAGAGUUGAAUUAGUUAACUAUAACAAUCUUAUGUUUUAUAUUAAAUUCCUUGUUACCCUCCUGGAAGGGAGUUUGACUAUAGCAAAAACUGUAACAAGUGAUCAUCAAAGAAGUGUUUAUAAAUUGAUUAUUACUUCCUAGUAAGCGUUAAUCACAACACGGUACCUCAAAAAUCUAUGAGAUGCAGCUACACCAUGCUUAGAAAUUUAUAGCUGCAAAUACUGUUAAAGAGAUUUUAAAUCAAUAGUCUAAGAUUCUACCUUAAAAAAAAUUAGAAAAAGAGAAGCAACAGAAGUCCAAAGGAAACAGAAGGAAAGAAUAAAGAUUAGUAUGGAAAUCAGUGAAAUAGGAAACAAAAACAAUGCGGAAGAAUCAACGAAACCAAUAGCUGGGUCUUCAAAAAGAUCCACAAGUUUGAGCUACAGUGACAGAGAAGACAUGAAUUGCCAUUACCAAGAACGAAAGAGGGGACAUUGCUAACAACUUUACAGAAGUUAGGGUUGUAAAUAAAUGCUGUGUACAACUUCAUGCCAACACACUGGACAAGUCAAGUGAGAUGGAAAAAUCUUAGACACAAGCUACCAAGAUGUAGUCAAGAAGAAAUGGAGGGUUUUAGUAGGCCUUUAACAAAUUGAAACAAAGCCAAGGGCCAGAUGGCUUCACUGGUGAAUGCCACCAAAUGUUGACAGAAGAAAUCAUGCCAAUCUUUUCACAGAUUUAGAAAAUAGAAGAGGGGUAUACUUAACUAGCUGUGUGCUCUGAGGCUCCUAUUACCCUGAUAGUAGGGCGAGACAAAAACGUAAUGAGAAUAUUGUGGACCGGUAUCCUUCAUGAAUUCUGAGUAUAGCUACAGAAACUUCAUCAACUCUAGUGACACACAGGCACAUCUCUGAGAUCCUGCAGGUUUCUUUCCAGAAGCCAGUAUCACAAUAAAGCGAAUCAAAUGAA